GCAAAUACUCAACCCGCGGUGUAC
rnacentral:siRNA from 1 species